rnacentral:rRNA from 1 species
GUAGUUGAGGACGGCGGAAUGAGUUGUGUAGCGGUGAAAUGCAUAGAUAUAACUCAGAACACCAAUUGCGGAGGCAGCUGUCUAGACUGCAACUGACGCUGAGGCACGAAAGCGUGGGGAGCGAACAGGAUUAGAUACCCUGGUAGUCCACGCUGUAAACGAUGAUCACUCGUUGUUGGCUACUUAGUAGUCAGUGACUAAGGGAAACCGUUAAGUGAUCCACCUGGGGAGUACGUCGGCAACGAUGAAACUCAAAGGAAUUGACGGGGGCCCGCACAAGCGGAGGAACAUGUGGUUUAAUUCGAUGAUACGCGAGGAACCUUACCUGGGCUUAAAUGCAGGCUGCAUUCAUGUGAAAGCGUGAUUUCCUACGGGACUGCUUGCAAGGUGCUGCAUGGUUGUCGUCAGCUCGUGCCGUGAGGUGUCGGGUUAAGUCCCAUAACGAGCGCAACCCCUAUCGCUAGUUGCCAGCAUGUAAAGGUGGGGACUCUAGCGAGACUGCCGGUGUAAACCGGAGGAAGGUGGGGAUGACGUCAAAUCAGCACGGCCCUUACGUCCAGGGCUACACACGUGUUACAAUGGCCGGUACAAAGAGCAGCCACCUGGCGACAGGGAGCUAAUCUCAAAAGCCGGUCUCAGUUCGGAUCGAAGUCUGCAAUUCGACUUCGUGAAGGUGGAUUCGCUAGUAAUCGCGCAUCAGCCACGGCGCGGUGAAUAAGUUCCCGGGCCUUGUACA